AUGAAGUCAGUGGAGGCGCCAAAGGUCACCUCCUGAAGUGCUGGAUAUGCUGGAAGAACUAGAAGGUGGAAGUCAAGGUGCUUGGAAGCAGUGAAUGGUCACCAGCCCAAUCCCAACAACUGCAGAUGUCCCAUCAGGUCCCUCGAUCUGAAAGGGACCCAGGAAGAAGAGGACACAUUGCUGCUGUUCAUUAAGUUAGAUUCUGUUACAUCACAGAGGGGGAGAAUGGGUAAAAAGUAAACUAGUAGUAUCUGCUAAAACACUAUUUUAUUUUGUUCAAAAGCCUAUGAACCAAGAAAAGUCAGGAACAGACACAAACAUGGAUAGAUAGAAUUCAGUCCCAUAUCACCUAAGGUAUUGAAACAUGAUGGGGUUGAAAGAAUACAGAAUAAUAAAUUAGGCAGGUAAUGUUCAAAUUAUAAUUUGAUUAACCAAAUACGCAAAUGUUCAACUUUACCUACAAUCUAGGUUUAAAUACACUACGAAUAAAUAAAAUUGCUAAUUCUGUGAAAAAAAGAAAAUGUCAAAAGUUGAGAAAAACAAUUGCUCAUACUCAGAACUCUUUUGUAGUUUAUGGAUAACAUGAGUAUCAUUUUGUUAAGCUUGCAUAACUGAGUAUGACCUCUCUUGGUCUGGGAUCCUAGGAAAGAAGACUAGGGUAAGACUUGGAUGCUGUUGUUUGAUUGGGGAGUGCAGUCCCAGAGAUGUGUAGUUGAAGUCAAAGAAAAGUAAGGCAGGAAGGAGGGGUGGGGCACCAGGAAAUUCUGCACAUGGGGUCACUGCUUCGUGAGGAAAAUUAGUCUGUUGGGUGACCAGUCCCUUGAGGGGAGGAAUGGAGAGAGAGUCGUUGUAGCUUUCUGCCUCUUUUUGAGGACUUCUUUGGUUGAAAGUCUGCUCCCUGUGGCGGUAACUCCCCCGCACCGCUGGGUUGCCUCACCUGGAGCCUUUAGCAGUCUCCGGGAAGCCAGAUCUGUGCCCUUCUGCCAGGGUCUCUGGUAUUGUCCUGUAAUCUUCAGGAUGAAGGACGCUGGAGACAUAAAAGACUACGAAAAUCUGAAACAGCACAGAAAAUACCGCCAACUAGUAAAAGUUUAAGACACCAUCAUUCAAGUGAAAAUUUUAAUUUGAAAAAAAUCCAACUUGUUAAAUUCCAAACUUAGACCGAAUUUUGCAAACAGUAAUUACUGUUGUAUUUUUUGUAACGUUGUUUUAUUGUAUUAUUUAUUGACAAGUACAUAAACAAGACAUAUGUUACUAAUGGAUAAUGAAUAUGUCUUGGUAGAUAAUGAUUUUAAAAAAUUCAAUUAUGCAAACUUGUGAUUUUGAAAAGUCAUUACACAUUUUUAUUUAUAAAUAUUUUUACAAUGUAGUGUUCAGAUUUAAUUGUGUACUUUACUUGCAACUUCUCAUCAUGUCAUUUGUACAUAAAAAUCUAUAUACAAAAAUCUAUAUAGAUUUUAUAUACAAACGACAUGAUGAGAAGUUGCAAGUAAAGUUCACUAAUUGUGUGGUUUGUGUCCUUAUUCCCAUUUUGAAUGACAAUGAAAACUAAGACUAUAUGUUUAAUAACAUCUUCUUCCAAACGCAUUAUGGUUCAGCAUAAAGCACAAAUUUUAUUCAAGGGUUUACUACAUUUUCAUGAUUUGAAAAACUCAGAAAUAUUACUCAGCCCAGAUAAAAUAUUCCACUCUGGAAGAAUGUGUUUGAUUGGUUGAUGCCUUGGAGAUCAAUUAUUCUGAAAUAGUAAGUUCAAUCUGGCAUCAUUCAAAGUCAUCUCUCCCACAAUCACCUGAAGGAAUGAUAAUACGGCAGGAAACCAAGAAAAAUUAAGGAUUUUUAAAGCCUCCACUGCAAAAAAGAAUGGGUUCUUAUAGUCACCGUGACCUUGGUGCAGGGUAUUUUCUGGGGGAUUGAUGCCCUUCUCGGACGAUCAACUCUCCCAGCUGAUCAUUAAUCCCCAGACAGUGCCCCUGUCUGUAUCACCAUUGUUUAAUUCAAUUAUUUGUGGUGUGGGCUUUACUUUGUGAAUAUUUUAUUGUUCAGUGGGGCUCCCUGACUUUCCUCUCUGCCUGUGCAAUUCUAUUUCUUUGACAUAGACCAGAUCCCGUUUGCAUUCCCUCACACACUCAGAGCUAUCUCUAAUUCAUGGAGAGGAAAAUAUAUGUGCAUUCACAGAUACAGAUAUGGUUAUGCGAACAUUUUGUGUGGAAAUAUUUAUAAACAAAUUCAAAUAGACUAUUAAUGAACAUAUAUGCCAGUUUUAUAAAUCACUGUAGGUUGUUUUAUCAGAGUGUGCACUUUUAUAGGCCAGAAUUGGGUAUCACCAUUUAGAUAAGGUUGGAUGUUACUAGUUGAAUAAACAGUUAUAGUCUCUUAACAUAAGAAUGGAAUUUAAAUAUUAGAAGCAGAAAAAAAUGCAAUGUGAAUAAUCAUCUCAGGGUGCAGGUAUCUGGUAUCUGGGCCAAUGCCCAUGUCUACACAUGGUUAAGGACUAUGUACCUUCAGACUGAUGGGCAGAUGGGCACGGCACCUAGCAUUCAGCAUUCAUGGCCAGAGAGAUCAGGUUCAAAUCUCAGCUCCAUCCUGAGACUAGAGUGCUUUGAAUGCAUUGCUACUUCCCCUAUUAGGUACCUAGGGAGCAUUACUACUCCAGUGCUUCUGAGAGGGUUAAACGUGGAGCUAUCACAUGGUUCAUUCUUGUGAAUUGUAUGCAGACAUAUUCCAUAGGUCACAUAACUCUCAGUGUGGAUAUGUGUGAAUGUGCACACAUACAGAUGUAUGCAGGUUUAUUAUAAGCAAACGAUUCCAUUUGUAAUGCUUGUUUCUGUUGAAGAUGUUUUUCUAAUAGUAAAUGAGUUUAUUGAGUUAUAAAGCUUUCACCUCAUUUAAAUUGAAGUAAUUUAAAAUAAAAUCAUGAUAUAUUUCAGUGAUACAUUUGAAUUUUAUUAAUUUGUUAUAUUUAUAAACACUGUUUGUAUUUUAUUUUUGUGCAUAAAUUACAUGUAAUCUAAUUUUAUAAGUAUGGCAAUAGUCCUAGG
rnacentral:lncRNA from 10 species